rnacentral:rRNA from 1 species
UACGGGGGGAGCAAGCGUUGUUCGGAUUUACUGGGCGUAAAGGGUGCGUAGGCGGCCACCGCAAGUCGAUUGUGAAAUCUCCGGGCUUAACCCGGAAAGGUCAACCGAUACUGCGGGGCUAGAGUGCAGAAGGGGCAACUGGAAUUCUCGGUGUAGCGGUGAAAUGCGUAGAUAUCGAGAGGAACACCUGCGGCGAAGGCGGGUUGCUGGGCUGACACUGACGCUGAAGUGCGAAAGCUAGGGGAGCGAACGGG